rnacentral:rRNA from 1 species
GACGAACGCUGGCGGCGUGCCUAAUACAUGCAAGUAGAACGCUGAAGAGAGGAGCUUGCUCUUCUUGGAUGAGUUGCGAACGGGUGAGUAACGCGUAGGUAACCUGCCUGGUAGCGGGGGAUAACUAUUGGAAACGAUAGCUAAUACCGCAUAAAAUUGAUUAUUGCAUGAUAAUUAAUUGAAAGAUGCAACUGCAUCACUACCAGAUGGACCUGCGUUGUAUUAGCUAGUUGGUGAGGUAACGGCUCACCAAGGCGACGAUACAUAGCCGACCUGAGAGGGUGAUCGGCCACACUGGGACUGAGACACGGCCCAGACUCCUACGGGAGGCAGCAGUAGAGAAUCUUCGGCAAUGGGGGCAACCCUGACCGAGCAACGCCGCGUGAGUGAAGAAGGUUUUCGGAUCGUAAAGCUCUGUUGUAAGAGAAGAACGAGUGUGAGAGUGGAAAGUUCACACUGUGACGUAUCUACCAGAAAG